rnacentral:lncRNA from 1 species
UCUGCUUUCAGCUCACCAGCUGAAGCCCAUCUGACCUUUCAGCUUAACUUACGAGGAGGCGGUGGCUGGAAGCUAUAGAUGCUGGAUGACAUGGGGACAGAUGAUUCUGUGUCUGGGAAUGUGUGUGACAGGCGGAGGAGGAACGCCUGUGAAAUUAAGCUUCUGUUUGACUCAUCUUUGUUUUCCAGGAACUGGAGAGUCACCGCAGCAGUGAGGGUCACCUCUCUGAAAGGCACCUGCUUAUCUUCCAUCUGUGUCUGUGGAGGGAGAAAACUUGUCUCUACGUCAGCAAAGCUGGGUUUGUGUACUGCCUGCCUGGUCUGAAGAAGAGUUAAAUAAUCCCAGUGUUAGAAAGGACUUUGAACUGGUUCAUCUCUCCACCAGUCUGGUGUCUCGGAUUUGACCCUGCGUUGCCCACUCCUGCUGGAUCUUGUCCAGUCGAGGGACAAAACGUCCUGACACCCUCCUGAAGAAUGGGAAGAAAGGAGAUUCUGGAAGCACAGAUUGCAAUACCAUGCUAGAGGCCGAGGAGACCGACGCGAAGGGAUUGCUCCCACACCAACAGGAGCCCUGAGGACGACUGGAGCUGGAGGCACGCAGGCCCAAGAAGGGUGGAAAUGCCAGCAGUGACCAAGAGCCACCCACAGCGGUUCCCGAGCAGUCUGUCCAGGAUCCACCGAAUGGAGGGCACACGGCAGGUCUCUCUCACUUGGCAACUGCAACUUUGCAACCUGGAACAAAGGCCAGAAAAGCCCAAGAAGGAGCACAAGUCCAAGAGCUUUCAGAGUAACCUUGAGAAAAUUGUCUACUGAAUGGUGACCCGUUCUGCCACUGGAUAUUGGGAGAAGAGACGUUCCCUCGCACGUUGGAUCCCAUCAUACCUGGAUGCCAUUCCUCACAGACUUUGAAGAUUUUAUAUCCACCUUUAAGCAUGCUCUUCCUGUUUCAGCUCUAGGAGUUCUGGUUAACAUUCUCUAUGAGAAAAUGUUCACUUUUUCUCCCUUCGAGUUCUGGAUUAAACUGUCUUACCUGGAGCUGGGUCAGUUGAGGCUAGAGGCACCUCCACACAGUCCUGUUUCUCAGAAGUUGCCAGGUUCAUGUCAUACUUGUUUCAUUUGCGAACAGGGGUCCUCCUCUGACAGAUGCUAUCUGGCCUGGUCAGUGUGGCUCCUGGUCUGCUCUUUGGUGCCUUUCUCUCCUCCCCGUCCCAGAUCUGAAAAUGGAAGCACAGAGAGCUUAAGCAACAUGUCCACCAUCACACAGCUGGAAGUGGCAGAUCCAGAGAGGCCAGUUCCACCAGUCACCUCUGGCCAGUCAGAAAACAACACUUGACCCUUGACCCUGUUUCAUAGACUGGUGGCCUUUUCUCCCUGAGAUUAUCUUGUUUUACAUGACAUGAGAUUUGACUCGAGUGUCAUGUGCGAUCCUAUCUAGUGACAAG